rnacentral:snoRNA from 1 species
GCAAAUUUCAUGAUGAAGCAUAGUUCAGUUGAAUUCAUCUGUGAUAACUUAACUGAAGCUCUAAUGUCUUUCGCUCCUAUCUGAAAAUGUAU